ensembl:lncRNA uncharacterized LOC104145040
GCCCAGGAUGGGACACAUCCUGCUAGAAACAACAAAGGAAUUUCUGGGGGAUUUUGCAGGAAGGGAUGCCUCGCUCGGCACCUCUCGCAGCCCUGCCGAGCGGCAUCCGCGCAAAUCGCGAUGUUCGGGCGAUUCCUGCCAGAGAUUUGUUUCUUUUCUCACAGGAGGCAGGAAAGACAAAACAGAGCAGAUGCUCCGGGAAAAGCCCAGCGCGCCGGCACGCUCCCGCCCCCGUGGCAGGCAGCCGCGCCGCGGACCCCGGCCCAGCACGACGCUUCCCACUGCGGGCCGCUGCCGUCGCCGCUUAACCCUCAACGCCACCGCCGGGUUCGGGCUCCGGCGGAAAAACUGCAAGGAAAAGCCUCCCACCAGCCCUCGACGGCUGCCGUUCGGCAGAGCAGCUUCUCCUGGAAACACAACCGGACAACGCAUCCUUAUUGCCCCAGCGUUACUCCUGGCCCCCUGCCUCAGUUUCCCCUCGCCACAAAACGCAAUGAUGCUUUUGCUCUCGCCUGCCCCAGCCUCCUCGCUCUGGGACUCGCUUGCGGAUGAGAAACUCCAGGGAAGAGCAAGCCCCGGGCCCGCGGCGUGACCUUCCCAUGUCUUGGGGGCGAGGUUUGGCUGAACAUCCCCAGCGCCGCUCCGGGCUCGUCCCGUCCCCGAGCCCAGCCUGGUCGGCGGGUGCAAACGCUGCAGGAAGCAAGUGCCAGGAAGCGCCGGAGGCCGGGGCGGGGGCAGCAGGGCUGGCGCCAGGAUUGGGGCAGGACGUGGGGGCUGCGGCCGGGGCCCAGCGAGCAGCCCGGACUGUGCCAGCUUUCCGGUCUUGCUCCGGCAAGAAGAGACAGCAGAAGGCCCGGGCACCUGCGGAGACCCUCGUUGCUGCGGGCCUUGUGGAGGAGCGAGAGGAGAGCGGCACCGCCGCCUCCAGCCUCACCAGUGACCAGCACCCGGUGAGUGAGGGCAGCCCCCGGCGCACAGCCCCUCGCUGGCCCCUGCGGGGACACCUGCGUCUGGGGCAGAGCCACCCAUCCCAAAGCACAGGAUCCCCACUCACGUCCCAGCCUGGCCGAGCUCAAUCCCAAAAGGCGAGAGCCGCUGAGAAGCACCUGGGAGGAGCGCUUGUGCAAAGGCUGCCUUCCAAGGAGGUCCUCCAAACCUCCUGUUGGAGCAGGGGCUGCGUCCAGCAGGCUGCGAGCACCAGCAAGAUGGCUCCAGCAGCCCUGCGUUGCCUUCUCCCUCCCCCUCCCAGACCCACCAGCCUCCCUCAAGGUCCCUUCCCCUCCGCAGCUGAUCUCCUGCCUCUCUGAGCCGUUCUCUUUUCCACCCGUGUCCCCAAAGGUCCAGGAGAGCCUCGACGCAGAGGUCCCCCCUGCUCAGGCACCUGGGGUGCCUUCUGGCGAAGAAGAUGGUGAGACGGGUAAGCCCCGAGUUGCCUGGGUGCACAGGGAGCAAGGCCGACAGGACGGGGGCACGGAGGGGUGCUGGGCUGAGCCGAGCAGCUGGCAGCAAAGGGCAUCUCCUCCUGGAGAUCCCCGGAGAGCUGGGGGCAGCUGGGGCAGACCUGUAAGGAGGUCUCUGGAGGCUGCCGUCGAGGCAGCCCAUGGGCACACGGGUCAGGAACGGGAAGCCCUGUGGAGCCUCAGCAAGGCCGUGCUGCCCUGCUGCUGGUGUUUUCCUGCCUGCUCCAGCCCUUCGGGAACCUCUGCAGCACUCGGAGAGCGUAGGGUAGGCAACGGCUGGGCUUGCCAGCAUCACCGCUCAGUCGCUCUCUCCUCUUCUCCCGUCUUCCGGCUUGUCCCCAUGUCCCAGAAGCUCCUGCAGCAGAAGAGCAGCCCACGGAGCCAAGCAGCGAUGAGGUUAUAGAUGCGGCCGUGAGAUACAUCUCCAAAUACGUGAAGGACCUGGCCGCCUACAUGGACCAAGCCAUCUCUCGGGGUAGGCAGCCGAGGGUGGAGGGUGAGGUCUUGGGCCCAGCGGGACCGGGCCAGGCAACAGGGGGCUCUCAGGGAGGAAAGCGGGGCUGGCACGAGCAGGGGUCAAAGUCUGCGCCCCUCCUCCUGUCCUGGAGGGGUCUGUCAGAGGGAACCCACUCAGCAGGGAAGUCCUUGAGGGCGUGGAGGCCUGUUUUCACCUUCUGCUUGUGUCUGCCAGAAAUGGAGCUUGCCAAAGGGCUGCAAUCAUUAGCCAGUGCCUUCAAGAAGACUAGCACUCACGAAGAGGUAAGCUGGCGGAGACGGGCAGCCCCAAAGCUCUCCCCACAACCCCCAGCGCCCUGCUUCCUGGGCUCCCGCGCCAGCUGCCUGACAG